AAAAAAAAAAAAAAAAUCAAAUGAUCAGAAAGUUUUGCACCCUUAAUGGCACACAGUUAAAAGAAUAUUGAAUCACAAGGUGGUAAAUGGCAAGUCAUUUUGGGUUUCAUUUUUUGAUGCUGUACAUAGUUAUUCAUCAUGUUAAUGUACAAAAAAGAAAUUUAAUUAGAGUCUUCUUGUGCAUUUAUUCUAAAAUUAUUUACCAGAAAAAGAGAUGAAUAUUUUAUAUUGUCUAUUCCAUCAAUUAUUUUUUGUUCAUUGUGCAUCUAUUAAAAGAAAUAAAAAAAAAAUUCUAAUUAAUUUAUAUUUCGUAAAUCAAUUCACUUAAAAUAAAACUUUUAAAAUCAAAUAAGAUUUAAUUUUUUAAUUGAAAUUAUAUUUUCCGAAUCAAAUUUAAAUAUAUCAAUUUUCAGUCGAAUCACAUAAAUCAUUUUUUAUUAAAUUAUUUCUGGUUGAAUACGAAUUUGAACGUAUUAUGAAUCAUUUCAAGUAGAUCAACCAACUGUUAGAAGUAAACAAUUGUCAUCUCCCAACAAUAUACAAAACUUACAAGAAUGUUGAGUUUUCCAUUA
rnacentral:misc_RNA from 1 species